rnacentral:ncRNA from 1 species
AAACCAUAACGGGAGCGCCCAUGUUUUGGGCUGAGAAGUGGCUAUUGAGCACACGAUCCUUAAUCACCUGAUCAGCGUUGUGGCUGCGGAGGGAGCAAUGGGACUUUUUUG